GUUCAGUAAAAUGUGCAAAAAAUCUUUGCGAUUUUUAAGUUAUUUACAAUAGCCAUUUGAAAGUUUUUUCUUAGUUUUUAUUCGGGUAAAUUUGUUUUGACCGAGUAAACACGCUGGAAAACUCAACACGCGUUUUAUAAUGCUAAGUUGUUAUUAAUAGUAAAAAGUAAUCGAGUGUAAUUUGGUAGAUUUUUUUUAUAAAUGUUUUGAGUUCAAAUUUUAACGUAAAUCGUAAACAUCGAGGUGUUAAAAAACAUGUUAUUCAACCGGAUUCGAUAGAUUUUUCGUUACGGUACAGACGU